CCUGAAACCGGAUGCCUACAAACAGUUGGAGCCCAAGGUUCGUCCUGGGUGACAGCGUACCUUUUGUAUAAUGGGUCAGCGACUUAGUGUAUCGAGCAAGCUUAAGCCGGUAGGUGUAGGCGCAGCGAAAGCGAGUCUGAACAGGGCGUUCAGUUCGAUGCAUUAGACCCGAAACCAAGUGAUCUAGCCAUGAGCAGGUUGAAGGUACGGUAACACGUACUGGAGGACCGAACCCAUAUCUGUUGCAAUAGAUCGGGAUGACUUGUGGCUAGGGGUGAAAGGCCAAUCAAACUUGGAGAUAGCUGGUUCUCCGCGAAAUCUAUUUAGGUAGAGCGUCCAGCGAAUACCCCCGGGGGUAGAGCACUGAAUGGGCUAUGGGGACUCACCGUCUUACUGAUCCUAAUCAAACUCCGAAUACUGGGGAGUACUACUGGGCAGACACACGGCGGGUGCUAACGUCCGUCGUGGAGAGGGCAACAACCCUGACCACCAUCUAAGGUCCCUAAGUUAUGGCUAAGUGGGAAAGGAUGUGAGGAUCCCAAAACAACCAGGAUGUUGGCUUAGAAGCAGCCAUCAUUUAAAGAAAGCGUAACAGCUCACUGGUCUAAAUAAGGGUCUUUGCGCCGAAAAUGUACCGGGGCUAAAGCCAUACACCGAAGCUGUGGAUGCACAUUUGUGCGUGGUAGCGGAGCGUUCCGUAAGCCUGUGAAGGGACAGUCGUGAGACAUCCUGGAGGUAUCGGAAGUGAGAAUGCUGACAUGAGUAACGAUAAAGGGAGUGAGAGACUCCCUCGCCGAAAGUCCAAGGGUUCCUGCUUAAAGUUAAUCUGAGCAGGGUUAGCCGGCCCCUAAGGCGAGGCCGAAAGGCGUAGUCGAUGGGAACCACGUUAAUAUUCGUGGGCCUGCAGGUAGUGACGGAUCGCGUGUGUUGUAAGGUCUUAUUGGAUUGAUCUUGCAGCGAAGCGGUUCCAGGAAAUAGCUCCUGCAUAUAGACCGUACCCUAAACCGACACUGGUGGACUGGUAGAGAAUACCAAGGCGCUUGAGAGAACUGCGUUGAAGGAACUCGGCAAAAUGCACGCGUAACUUCGGAAGAAGCGUGACCUCCAUUUAGGCAACUAGGUGGGGGUGGCACAGACCAGGGGGUAGCGACUGUUUACCAAAAACACAGGGCUCUGCGAAGUCGCAAGACGACGUAUAGGGUCUGACGCCUGCCCGGUGCUGGAAGGUUAAGAGGAGAUGUGCAAGCAUUGAAUUGAAGCCCCAGUAAACGGCGGCCGUAACUAUAACGGUCCUAAGGUAGCGAAAUUCCUUGUCGGGUAAGUUCCGACCUGCACGAAUGGCGUAACGACUUCCCCGCUGUCUCCAACGCAGACUCAGUGAAAUUGAAUUCCCCGUGAAGAUGCGGGGUUCCUGCGGUUAGACGGAAAGACCCCGUGCACCUUUACUAUAGCUUUACA
rnacentral:rRNA from 1 species